GACGAACGCUGGCGGCGCGCUUAACACAUGCAAGUCGAGCGAAGCGGCGGACGGGUGAGUAACACGUGAGUAACCUGCCUUAGACAUUGGGAUAGCCUCGGGAAACCGGGAUUAAUACCAAAUGGUCUAAGAUGGACUCGAGUCCCAUUAGCUAGUUGGUGGGUAACGGCCCACCAAGGCGACGAUGGUUAGCCGGCCUGUGUGGGUGAACGGUGACAUUGGAGCUGAGCAUCGGUCCAAACGCUACGGGAGGCAGCAGUGGGUAAUAUUGCCCAAUGGAGGGAACUCUGAUGCAGCGAGGCCGCGUGAACUAAGAAGGCUUUCGAGUCGUAAAGUUCUUUUAUAUGGGACGCGGUACCAUAAGAAAAAGCCCCGGCUAACUACGUGCCAGCAGCCGCGGUAAUAC
rnacentral:rRNA from 1 species